rnacentral:pre_miRNA from 1 species
AUCACCUGGGAAUCUUAUUAAAAUGCAGAUUCUGAUUCAGUAUGUCUGAGAAGGAACCCGAGCAUCUGCAUUUCUAGUACGUUUUCAGGUGAUGCCCA